rnacentral:piRNA from 1 species
UUCUUUAAGGUUUUCUGAAGAUAAUGUGG